AUGGUAAUCACAAACUUCAACGGAGCCGGCGUCGGAUUUGGUUUCGGUGUUGGUUGCGGUUUCGGUGUAGGAUGGGGUUUCGGAGGUAUGCCAUUGAACUUCUUGGGUCUUGGUGCAGGUGGAGGCUGUGGCGUUGGAGUAGGACUUGGUUGGGGUUUUGGUACUGCUUUUGGUAGCAGGUACAGGUUGUCAAGGGUCACAUUUCAAGGAAUGGAAUUUGAUAGGAAGGAGAAAAGUGAUAGCACGGAGUUGUCAAAACCCAGCCCAGAAAUAAGAAGUUCAAGAUAG